rnacentral:rRNA from 1 species
UACGUAGGGGGCAAGCGUUGUCCGGAAUCAUUGGGCGUAAAGGGUGCGUAGGCGGCGCGGUAAGUCGGGUGUGAAAUCUCGGGGCUUAACUCCGAAACUGCAUUCGAUACUGCCGUGCUUGAGGACUGGAGAGGAGACUGGAAUUUACGGUGUAGCGGUGAAAUGCGUAGAUAUCGUAAGGAAGACCAGUGGCGAAGGCGGGUCUCUGGACAGUUCCUGACACUGAGACACGAAGGCCAGGGGAGCAAACGGG